AAAGGUUUGGUCCCAGCCUUUUAAUCAGUUUUUACCCUACACACACAUGCAAGUCUCCGCACCCCUGUGAGAACGCCCUUAACUUCCCCAAUAGAACCAAGGAGCUGGUAUCAGGCACAAUCAUUAGCCCAAAACACCUAGCAACGCCACACCCACACGGGAUUUCAGCAGUGAUUAACAUUGAGAAUAAGCGAAAGCUUGACUCAGCCAAGGUAAAGAGAGCCGGCAAAUCUGGUGCCAGCCGCCGCGGUUAUACCAAGUGGCUCAUAUUGAUUACUCCGGCGUAAAGCGUGAUUAAAGUAAACUAAUUAUUAGAGACAAAUUAAAACUAGGCUGUAAUAAGCUUGUACUUAAGAAGACCAAAAACGAAAGUUUCUCUAUCUUCAACAACUUGAAUUCACGAUAGCUAGGACACAAACUGGGAUUAGAUACCCCACUAUGCCUAGCCGUAAACUUUAAUAUACAAUUCAACCGCCAGGGAACUACGAGCUAAGCUUAAAACCCAAAGGACUUGACGGUACCCCAUAUCCACCUAGAGGAGCCUGUCCUAUAAUCGAUACCCCACGCUAAACCCUACCAUUCCUAGUUUAUCAGCCUGUAUACCUCCGUCGUCAGCUUACCGCAUGAGCGUCCAUCAGUGAGCUUAAUGGUUUUACUCCAAUACGUCAGGUCAAGGUGCAGCAAAUGAAAUGGUAAGUGAUGGGCUACACUCUCUAGUAUAGAAGACACGGAAGACUCUAUGAAAUUAUAGUCAGAAGGCGGAUUUAGAAGUAAGAGGGGAUCAGAAUGCCCCCCUUAACUAGGCCCUGGGGUGUGUACACACCGCCCGUCACCCUCUUCGUAAAGCUAAAAUAAAGUAACUAACUAAACAACACAUCAAAGAAGAGGUAAGUCGUAACAUGGUAAGUAUACCGGAAGGUGUGCUUGGAUA
rnacentral:ncRNA from 1 species